rnacentral:lncRNA from 1 species
CGUGCAAAUUGAUUUCUAAACCUAUGGUAUGUUCCAUGGAAACCGUGCACCUAUCUUGUAACAAGAUUAGCAUUAUCUCCAAACAGAACGAACCGAGCUUUCACUUGAGCCUCUUCACUAGGAGUACUGUUGGUGCGUCCAAAAUGAUUUCUUAACCUAUGGUGCAUUAGACGCAAACCAUACAUCUAUCUUGCACCGAAACUAACACAACCUCCAAAUAAACCAAACCGAGAUUCCAUUUGACACAUGUCAUCUUGGAUUGUAUCGGGUGCGUCCAAAUUGAUGUCCGAGCAUAUGGUACGUUCUAUACAAACCGUGCACCUAUCUUGCAUCAAGAUUAGCACUAUCUCUAAAUGGACCAAACCGAGCUUCCACUUGAGCCUCUUCACCUAGGAGUACCAUUGGGUGUGUUCAAAAUGGUUUCUUAGCCUAUGGUGCAUUUGGCACAAAUCGUGCACCUAUCUUGCAUCGAAACUAAGACUAUCUCCACAAGGACCGAAGCGAGAUUCCAUAUGACACAGAUGGAGUUUUAUCGCGUGCGUCUAAAUUGAUUUCCUAGCAUAUGGUACGUUCCACGCAAACCGUGCACCUAUCUUGCUUCAAGAUUAGCACUAUCUCCGAACAGACCGAACCGAGCUUCCACUUGAGCCUCUUCACCUAGGAGUGCCAUCGGGUGCUUCUAAAAUUGUUUCUGAGUCUAUGGUGCAUUAGGCGCAAAACGUGCACAUAUCUUGUGCCAAAAUUAACACUAUCUCCAAACAAACCAAAGCGAGAUUCCAUAUGACACACAUCAUCUAGGAGUUCCAUCGGGUGCAUUCAAAUUGAUUUCUGAGCCUAUGAUAUGUUCCACACAAACUAUACACCUAUCUUACAUCAAGAUUAACACUAUCUCCAAACAAACCAAAACGUGCUUCCACUUGAGAUUCUUCACCUAUCAGUACCGUCUGAUGCGUCCAAAAUGAUUUCUUAGCCUAUGGUGCAUUAGGCACAAACCAUGUACCUAUCUUGCACUGAAAGUGACAUUAUCUCCAAACGGACCGAAGCAAGAUUCCAUAUGACACACGUCUUCGAGGAGUUGUAUUAGGUCAAUCCAAAUUGAUUUCUAAGCAUAUGGUACGUUCUAUACAAAUCAUGCACCUAUCUUGCAUCAAGAUUAUCACUAUCUCCAAAUGGACCAAACCGAGCUUCCACUUGAGCCUCUUCACCUAGGAGUACCAUUGGGUGCGUCCAAAAUGGUUUCUGAGACUAUGCCUCAUUCGGCCCAAACUGUGGACUAAUGUUACACUAAAACAAAUACUGUCUCCAAAUAGACCAAAGCGAGAGUCCAUAUGAGACAUGCCAUUAUAACACUUCAAAAUUUUUAAUUUUGGAUUGUUAUUAGAAAACACUAAAUUAAAUAAGGAUUUAAAAUUUUUCUAAAAUAUUCCAAGAUUUAUUUAAUUAUUGAAUUAAAAAAAAAGAGAGAAAAAAAUGUGGAAUUUUAAAAAAUUUUAUAAAAAUAAGUGAUGAGUGUUUUAUUUGUUAUGUGCUUUGUGCCCUAGCUUUGUUUAGCUUGUGUGUGAAAAAUGAAUUUGUAAAAUUUGGGCAAGCCAUGAUUAGGUCCUUCUCAAUUUAAAAAAAACAAUAAAAAAAACAAAAACAAUAAUAAUAGCGCUUCAAAAAAAAAACCUUAUUUGAAAACUAAUUCCAAUUCGAGUUGGAAACAAUUUGGAAAAUGUGUUUAAGCUAAAAUAUGUUUGUAUUUCAAAAUAGUCUAAAAACAAAUUUCAAAAUAGUCUAAAUGUAGUGAAUCAAAAUUUCGGUUUACAAUUUGUAUUGGAAAAUAUAUUCUAAAUCACCUUUUAUAUAUAUUUAUAUAUAUAUUUAUUUAUCUAAAAGAAUAAGAUUUUUCCCCCUCUCUCUUCCUGGCUUUUGGUCCAGCCCCAGCCUGCCCACCUCCUACCGCAGCGGCCCAACAGCCAGCAGCGCAGACGCGCUGGAGCCAGCCCGCACCGCAGCAGGCCGCGACCCAGCUCCACCCGUCCCCCUUGCACCCGCGCUGUGCCACCGACAGGCGGGGCCCACCCGUCAGGGGUCACCCCCAACCUCCUGCCCGAUUCGGACGGGAGAGUCCACCGCCGCUCCGCCUCGGCUUUCGAGCCGAGCGCGCCUUCCCAAGAUCCCCGCCCCCUAUAAAUAGCACCCUGCAGCCGCCGCGUGCCUCCCUAGGAACCCUAGUCGCCUCCAAACGCCGCCAAGAAGCCCUGGACCGAGCUUGAAGCCCCGCCGCUCCGUCCGCGGAUCCGGCCGUCGACGAGCUCGCCCCACCACUGCCUCGUCCGCCAAGGUGAGGCACUCUCUGAUC